AGGUCUUGCCUGCCCAGUGACUAGUUAAACGGCCGCGGUAUUUUGACCGUGCGAAGGUAGCGCAAUCACUUGUCUUUUAAAUGAGGACCUGUAUGAAUGGCGGAACGAGGGCUUAACUGUCUCCCCUUUCAAGUCAAUGAAAUUGAUCUGCCCGUGCAGAAGCGGACAUAUAAAUACAAGACGAGAAGACCCUUUGGAGCUUAAGAUAUAAAAUCAACUACGUCAAGGGUACACAAACCAAACUAAGUAGCACCUGAUAGGUAUCUUCGGUUGGGGCGACCACGGGAGAAAACAAAGCUCCCAUGCGGACUGGGGUUAUACCCUAAAACCAAGAAAGACAUUUCUAAGUCACAGAACAUCUGACCAUAAAGAUCCGGCCACCCGCCGAUCAACGGACCAAGUUACCCUAGGGAUAACAGCGCAAUCCCCUUUCUGAGUCCAUAUCGACAAGGGGGUUUACGACCUCGAUGUUGGAUCAGGACAUCCUAUUGGUGCAGCCGCUAUUAAGGGUUCGUUUGUUCAACGAUUAAAGUCCUACGUG
rnacentral:rRNA from 1 species